rnacentral:lncRNA from 1 species
CAAACUUUCACUGCCCUCAAUAACUGAAGAACUUGGAUUUAAAUAGAAUCAGUUGGCUAACAGCAGCAAGGGAGGUUACUGUCACAUUCUCUUCCAUCCUUGCUUAUGUUAGAAGUUUGUCUUUAAUGUAUUUUCCUUUUUAUUUUAAUGGGAAAAAAACACAUCCAUAUGAUGAAGAUGAUAAGAUACAGUUGUGGUUUGAGUUCUGAAUAAUAUAAUUCAAAUUGUGAAUUAUCUUCAUUUAAAUCAUUCGAGAUUCAGAUACAAAAGAAAGUGUCAUGAAACAGACAACCCCAAAACUACCUUUUGCACUGUACAAGCAUUUGGAUUCUUAUGAAGAAGCUCUGGACGUUCCAAGAACAGUACAUCAAGAAAGAAAUAUUACUAUCAGCAAUCUCAGCAAAGUUUACAAAUUCAAGAAAAACAGGUCAGGUUUUUAAAAAACUACUGUAGUCUUUGGGCUGAUAUUGAAGAAAACACAAAGAGGAGUAUGAGACCAG